ACCCAGGGACAGGCUGGCCUCGCAGGAGGCCUGGAGCCAGGCUGAGCCUCGGUUUCUCUCUCCACCACGGGACCUGAGGGUGGGUGGGCUCUUCAUGCCCCAGGCCAUGACCUCUCCUUGUUAAAGAGCCAUGAAUUGGUAGCAUUUCUGUGUGUCCCUUCUGAAUUUACCUUCUAACACGCAUCGCUUUUCUGCCGGGCCCACUUGUGCCCCUUCUGGUACGAGCCAUGAUGGCGACUUGCCGAGUGGUCUGGGCUUCGGCCUCCAGCCCUCCUGAUGGCCUGGGUGGGCCUCAGUUCCAUGUCUCCCCUCUGUUCUGUCACAGAUUGGGGCCCAAUGGGAGGAGAGCCGGGCAGAGGACUGCAUGGUGAGCACGGCACUGGCAGGCAUGCAGCCGUCCCCCGAGGGAGGCCCCGGAAUGGGACUUCCUGCACAGCCACCCCAUCCAAGUGGACUCCCACCUGGACCCCUCUGGGACCUGGAUUCUUGCCCUGCAGGAGGGGAUGGUGCUAAGGUGAGGUCUGUGGUCAGCACCCAGGAGCAGUUGGCCACUGUGGACCCAAGUCCUUGGAAGCUGCACUCCCAGGAGGAUCCACCAGCUGAACUCCUGCCCCAGCUGGAGCAAGCUGAGCCCACUGAGGCACAGCCCACAGGCGAGGAGGACGGGGUGUGGGCCUGUGGGCAUGAGGGGAGGGCUGGGCCUUUAGACACAGAGACAGCUUCCGGGUGCUGGGGUGACCUGGGAUCACUGAGACCUCAGCCGUCACGGUCUGGGAGGACUUCCUGGGGAGGCUUUGUGCGCAGAGCUGUCUGAUGGGCAGUGGGGAGGUUUUGCCCUGGGAGGGAACAUGGUCAGUUGGUGACUUUUUCUUCUCUUGGAACUGCAGGACCAGCUGCAGCCCAAGCUGAAGUCCCAUAUGUGGAGCCCGAGCCAGCUCCACCUGCAGCUUCCUGCCCAGCGCUGGGACCACAGCCAGAGUCCAUGGCAGCCCCUUCACCUGCUGCAGUGCUGGGGCACCUGGUGGCUGCACGGCAGUCAGUGUCACCUCCUGAGCUCCACCUGGCGCCAGCUCCUGGCCCCCUCCCACUGUUCCCCUCACUUACGCUGGCUCACGUUUUGGGAUUUACACUUGCCCUUAUUUAUUGGAUUUAUAUAAAUAAUAGAAGUAGCUUUUAAUAAAACUUAAAAUUUUGAUGUUUAAAAGGGUCAGCGCGGUGCCCUGAAGUGCCUUCUCCCUGUGUGCGC
rnacentral:lncRNA from 1 species